rnacentral:lncRNA from 1 species
CUAACUAACUAUGAGGUGCUGUUACAAUCUUUUCGCUCGUUGGCAUACAUUUCCUGCACACAAACCAACACCGGACCCACAUGGAUUCUCUCCUACUCUGUUUCAACCGAACUAUGGGGAGCACAAACCAACCCUUUGGUCAAAGAGAGAUAUUGAUUGGAUAAUAGUUAGUCAUCGGUUCGUCCCACCUACAAGUAUAGAGUUCUCAUUGGGCCACCAAUCUAUAGGACUGUAAAGUCAAAAUAUUAUUGGCUUAGGAGGGCCACUAGGUCUCCCCAGAAGCGUGUGCAGGGGCAAAAUAGUUCCCUUCAAAAUUGUGUUUCUAACAAAUAGUUCCAUGCACAACUGAGUCAAACCAACUUAUUUUAAUCACAAUUGUGAAAACAUGUUUUUAAAUAAAUGUAACUUGCUAAUCAUCAUUCUAGAUAUGUGAAUUCUCUAUUUUGUGCAUUUAUUUUCACUGCAACCAAGCUCGAAGUGAAAUACUUACUGCGAGGAACUCAUAGAGAAUGAUAGAGGAUGCAUUUCUACCUAUCAAGCUGACAGGCUGCGCAAUUGAGUCAAUAUCAAUUUGUAAGGCAAAUCCCUCCUGAUAAUCAAGUUGGAGAUGAAUCCAACAGGUCAGGAAAUCAACCUAUGAAGUUGGAAGUCACUUGGAGUACAUAAAAAAAGGUGAAAGUUAUUGCCAAAUCGACGCAGUCAAUGGUAAACUGACUUCUCGCCAUUACAGCCUUCGGUCAUUCUCUAUGGACCAAAUACACCGCAGUACUGCAGUACUACUUCCUCUAGCUACUAGCUAAGCUAGUAGUACCAGCUAGUACUUUUCCAUAUACUGACAAAGAUUUGCAUCCAUUGUCACUACUGCGAUCUCAGGCACGAAAUUGAUUAGGAAGUUUGCCCAUCUGAAGCAUGGCACCAAAGCGGGCAGCAACACCAACACAUCUCAAUGUCAACUCAGGCUGUUCUGUCAAAAUGAUGAAGAUAGGCAUGGAUCAUUGUCUUGAGGAUUUUGGUGAAGUAGUAGAAGAGGAGAAGUAUAGAAUACCAGACGAUGGAUAUUCACCCUUAGAGGGUGAACCAAUCACCUUUGAGGUGGAAGAUGAUCAAAGUCCUGGAAUGAGAACCGACACCAUAAGUCUCCUGAUGAAGAUUGACCAGCUUCAAGCAGAGCUGAAAUAUGAGCGCAGAUGUAGACAGCUGGCUGAGAGGGAACUGAAACAGUUGAAAGAGAUGAAUGACCUGAUGACCCAGAUGAGACACACAGCCCAUGACCUGAGGACUGUUCUGGAGCACGCCCGAGGGCAGCAGGGGAACGAUAUGAAUGACAUGGUGAACGAAGUUGUCUCCCCACAGAGCUUUGAGGGGAGCAUCUCCUAUAACAGCUUGCCAGUUCAGGUGUCGCAAGAGGUAGAGGUGAGGUCACCAACCCCGUCAGGCCAUUCUAUAUUCUUGUUGAUGCUUCAGUCACACUCAUCUCAGGACAGCAGAUAA